AUGCUUAAAAUUCUCAACAUAUUCCGAAAACUGUGAAAUUGGACGAAACCGAAGAAGGAAAGCUUGGCAGUGGCAGUUAUGGGUUUGUCUGUAAGGGAACAUGCGUAAAUAAGGUGGUAGCCGUCAAGAAAAUAUUAAAAGAACAUGGUAAUAGCGAAAAAAAUUAUCAAAACUCGAAGAGAAAUGAACAUAAAGACCUUGAUCAUGAAAAGGUACUGAGGUUACUCUACGUCGACGAUACAACGAACAAAGACUUCACAUAUCUCGUUUUGGAACUGUGCGCUGGAACGUUGACGGUCAAUUGCGGGAACAAAUACAAAGGACCAACAUUACCACCAGAUGAGCUGGUCCUUUACCAAAUUGCCAAUGGGUUGAAUUACAUUCAUUCGAGAGAUUUGGUGCACCGCGAUGUCAAGCCAGAUAUAUCCUCAUCUCAAUGUCAACACCUGUCAGCAUGAAAUUACCCGAUUUUGGAUUUGUUAAAAAAAUGAGUGCUCAAGAGACUUUUUCGCAGAGCGGAUUCAAAGGAACUUUGAACUGAAUGGCGCCUGAAACGUUGGAAAAUUCUAAAUAGUGCCACCGACGAAACGGAAGUACUGCCGCGCGGAACAAUUGAAAGUGGCACAUUUUCAGCUGGAUGUUUCUUUUUCUAUUUUGUGUCUCGCGGCUUGCAUCCGUUUGAAAGUCCUGUUCUCCUUCCCAGCAAUAUGGUGCACAACAACCCCAUAGAGUUUGUGUGCUACAAGCAAAUUUUGCGCAGAGAAGAUAGUUCUGGUCAAAAUCUUUGCAAAAUAAUUGGGGAAAUGAUUAAAAAAAGGAAGAAAGAGUCAAAUUGUCCGAUGUCAUUAAACGUCUGACGUCUGUAUUAAAUGCAUUCU